AAUAAACCCUAAGUUUUCGUGUCCAACAUUUGACCAUCCGUCUUAUUUAAAAGAAUUAUGAAAAAAAUAAAAAGACAAGUCAAAUUAAUCAUAUUUUAUCAUCUAACAAUAAUAAAAAUGCUAAUUAUAAAAAAAAUAUUAUAUAAGACGUACAGUCAAAUAUUGGACAUGAAAAUCUAGGUUUGCUUUUUUU
rfam:Oryza meridionalis cultivar OR44 (W2112) chromosome 3, whole genome shotgun sequence.